UUGCUUCUCUUGAGAGCGGCGGACGGGUGAGUAAUGCCUAGGAAUCUGCCUAGUGGUGGGGGAUAACGUUCGGAAACGGACGCUAAUACCGCAUACGUCCUACGGGAGAAAGCGGGGGAUCUUCGGACCUCGCGCCAUUAGAUGAGCCUAGGUCGGAUUAGCUAGUUGGUGAGGUAAUGGCUCACCAAGGCGACGAUCCGUAACUGGUCUGAGAGGAUGAUCAGUCACACUGGAACUGAGACACGGUCCAGACUCCUACGGGAGGCAGCAGUGGGGAAUAUUGGACAAUGGGCGAAAGCCUGAUCCAGCCAUGCCGCGUGUGUGAAGAAGGUCUUCGGAUUGUAAAGCACUUUAAGUUGGGAGGAAGGGUUGUAGAUUAAUACUCUGCAAUUUUGACGUUACCGACAGAAUAAGCACCGGCUAACUUCGUGCCAGCAGCCGCGGUAAUACGAAGGGUGCAAGCGUUAAUCGGAAUUACUGGGCGUAAAGCGCGCGUAGGUGGUUCGUUAAGUUGGAUGUGAAAGCCCCGGGCUCAACCUGGGAACUGCAUCCAAAACUGGCGAGCUAGAGUACGGUAGAGGGUAGUGGAAUUUCCUGUGUAGCGGUGAAAUGCGUAGAUAUAGGAAGGAACACCAGUGGCGAAGGCGACUACCUGGACUGAUACUGACACUGAGGUGCGAAAGCGUGGGGAGCAAACAGGAUUAGAUACCCUGGUAGUCCACGCCGUAAACGAUGUCAACUAGCCGUUGGAAUCCUUGAGAUUUUAGUGGCGCAGCUAACGCAUUAAGUUGACCGCCUGGGGAGUACGGCCGCAAGGUUAAAACUCAAAUGAAUUGACGGGGGCCCGCACAAGCGGUGGAGCAUGUGGUUUAAUU
rnacentral:rRNA from 1 species